AUUGAACGCUGGCGGCAGGCCUAACACAUUCAAGUCGAACGAGUGGCGGACGGGUGAGUAAUUUCUGGGAAACUGCCUGAUGGAGGGGGAUGACUACUGGAAACGGUAGCUAAUACCGCAUACCAUCAGAUGGGCCCAGAUGGGAUUAGCUAGUGGGUGGGUUAACGGCUCACCAAGGCGACGUUCCCUAGCUGGUCUGAGAGGAUGACCAGCCACACUGGAACUGAGACACGGUCCAGACUCAUACGGGAGGCAGCAGUGGGGAAUAUUGUACAAUGGGCGCAAGUCUGAUGCAGCCAUGCCGCGUGUAUGAAGAAGGCCUUCGGGGUGUAAAGUACUUUCAGCGGGGAGGCGUUACCCGCAGAAGAAGCACCGGCUAACACCGUGCCAGCCGCCGCGGUAAUUC
rnacentral:rRNA from 1 species